rnacentral:tRNA from 1 species
GGGUCAUUAGCUCAGUUUUUAGAGCAGUGGACUUUUUAUCCAUUGGUCGAUGGUUCAAGUCCAUCAUGACCCACCA